rnacentral:misc_RNA from 1 species
GAUGAAGAACGUAGCGAAAUGCGAUAAGUAAUGUGAAUUGCAGAAUUCAGUGAAUCAUCGAAUCUUUGAACGCACAUUGCGCCCGCCAGUAUUCUGGCGGGCAUGCCUGUUCGAGCGUCAUUUCAACCAUCAAGCCCCAGGCUUGUGUUGGGGACCUGCGGCUGCCGCAGGCCCUGAAAACCAGUGGCGGGCUCGCUGUCACACCGGGCGUAGUAGAUUUUAUCUCGCUCUGGGCGUGCUGCGGGUUCCGGCCGUUAAAAAACCCUUUUAACGCAAGGUUGACCUCGGAUCAGGUAGGAAUACCCGCUGAACUUAAGCAUAUCAAUAAGCGGAGGA